AACACUGUUAACCUGCGGUACCUGCGGAAGGAUCAUUACAGAGUGUAAAAACUCCCAAAACCCAUGUGAACAUACCUUUUUGUUGCUUCGGCGGGAUCGCCCCGGGCGCCUUGUGUGCCCCGGAGUCAGGCGCCCGCCGGGGGACCCAAACUCUUGUUUUUAACGAGUAUCUUCUGAGUAACGUUUUUAAAUAAAUAAAAACUUUUAACAACGGAUCU
rnacentral:misc_RNA from 1 species